UACGUAGGGGGCUAGCGUUGUCCGGAAUCAUUGGGCGUAAAGCGCGUGUAGGCGGUCCGGUAAGUCCGCUGUGAAAGUCGGGGGCUCAACCCUCGAAUGCCGGUGGAUACUGUCGGGCUAGAGUGCGGAAGAGGCGAGUGGAAUUCCUGGUGUAGCGGUGAGAUGCGCAGAUAUCAGGAGGAACACCAAUUGCGAAGGCAGCUCGCUGGGACGUAACUGACGCUGAGACGCGAAAGCGUGGGGAGCAAACAGG
rnacentral:rRNA from 1 species